rnacentral:rRNA from 1 species
UACGGGGGGAGCAAGCGUUGUUCGGAUUUACUGGGCGUAAAGGGCGCGUAGGCGGCCAGCACAAGUCAGUUGUGAAAUCUCCGAGCUUAACUCGGAAAGGUCAACUGAUACUGCGCGGCUAGAGUGCGGAAGGGGCAACUGGAAUUCUCGGUGUAGCGGUGAAAUGCGUAGAUAUCGAGAGGAACACCUGCGGCGAAGGCGGGUUGCUGGGCCGACACUGACGCUGAGGCGCGAAAGCUAGGGGAGCGAACGGG